UACAGGGGGGGCAAGCGUUGUUCGGAAUUACUGGGCGUAAAGGGCCAGUAGGCGGCCAACUAAGUCCGACGUGAAAUCCCCAGGCUUAACCUGGGAACUGCGUCGGAUACUGGAUGGCUUGAAUUCGGGAGAGGGAUGCAGAAUUCCAGGUGUAGCGGUGAAAUGCGCAGAUAUCAGGAGGAACACCGGUGGCGAAGGCGGGUCUCUGGGCCGAUACUGACGCUGAGGAGCGAAAGCGUGGGGAGCGAACAGG
rnacentral:rRNA from 1 species